AAGAAGUCUGCCUGGGACACUUGGUAGUUGGACUGAAAUGUUAAGAAGUCUGCCUGAGACACUUGGUAGUUGGACUGAAAUAUUAAGAAGUCUGCCUGGGACACUUGGUAUUGGACUGAAAUGUUAAGAAGUCUGCCUGGGACACUUGGUAGUUGGACUGAAAUGUUAAGAAGUCUGCCUGGGACACUUGGUAGUUGGACUGAAAUGUUAAGAAGUCUACCUGGGACACUUGGUAGUUGGACUGAAAUGUUAAGAAGUCUGCCUGGGACACUUGGUAGUUGGACUGAAAUGUUAAGAAGUCUCCCUGGGACACUUGGUAGUUGGACUUUGGUUGGAUGGAUGAUGGAGUGGACUUGGAACAUGUGAAGAGGUAUUAGAAAAGUUUGUUGUGGGAUUUGGACUGGGACUACUGCGGAUGAUGUCACUGGGAAUGUUUGCGUCGGUUGGCUUUGGCCCUUGUUGUUUCAUGUGAGGAGCCUUUCUGUUGGCCUUGUGUUUCCCAUGCCAAGCAGCUGAAUCCUCUUCAUACACAGAGAAGCACAGACAGGAUGGAGUGACGACUCUGCUCGACGGAGGAAAGACACUCGAUUAGUUUUAUGCCAUGCAAAUACCAUCACAUUGCACUUAAUGUCACACACACAAAGAUAAAUGCACACAUACACGCUUUUUGGAGACCAGUGGUCAUUCACCAAGUGUAUUCCUACAUAGUAUGUAAAUGAAAAAGGAGUGAUAUUAUUAUGUAAAUGUAAUUAUAUUAUUGUCCCAAACACCUCUAUUGGUUUAUGUAAAGCAAUAAGGUUGUUUGUCAAAGUACAGAAUAUAUACUCCAGGUGGAAGUUGCCCCUAAGCGCAGAUCUAGGAUCAGCUUACUCCCCAAAUCAUAACUUUAACCAUUAGAGGGGAAUGCAAAACUGAUCUUAGAUCAGCAUUUAUGGACAAAGUCAUCCUACUUCUUACUAUACAGGAGAGCUAAAAGCACAAUCAUUUGAUUGACGUUUUGUUUUUGUUUUACCAUGUUCCGUUAUCUAUCUUGCAGAAUAAAUAACGGCCAAUAUAUUUUGAACAGAGGUGGGGGAAGGAGGGAGGAGCUAUCCAGUAGUUAUUAUUCCAGGUGACUUGUAAUGUGUACAGUGUACGGUAUUUAAACGUGUGUAAAGGUCACCAUAAGGCUGUGGAUUGGUUAUAUAGCACGGUAUUGUAACGAAACAGACAAAAGGCUAAGCUGCAUCGCAAAUGGCACCCUAUUCCCUAUACAGUGCACUACUUUUUGACCAGAGCCCAUAUGCUCUGAUCUAAAGUAAUUCACUAUAUAGGGUACCAUUUUGAACACACUAUGUGAGGGAACCCAGAUCUAAACUGUCUUUCUGGAAUAACACCGUUGGACCCAAAGAAGUAGAAAACACCCCUUCAUAUCUCUCUCUAGUAAAGAAGCACGGAAUUGAUUAGAGUUUCAACCAGGGAUUGGAGUUCAUUUUCAAUUCAGAAUAUUCAUUGAAAUGCUGUUCAUGAAAGGAAAAAUCUGUCAUUGAAUAACAAUGGGCAAAUUGAAUAGACUGAAUUAGAAAGAGGAAGGUCCCCAUCCCUGGUGGCCACUGUGUAUAGGGUAUUGAGAAGGUACGUUGUGUUGCUAUGUGCUGUGUUAUAUUUAUGGCCCAAAUGUUUUCCUGACCUCAUGCCCUGACCAGGAAAACGCUGAUCCCCAGUUGUAGGCUAUAGCUAAGGCUCAGAGUUGUUGUUGUUCAGAUCACAUGCUCAGGAAAAGGUCCUGUAUCUGAUUAGAAAACAGUGUUAUAGUGCAGUAUUACACUAGAACUAUAAUAUAGUAUACAGUCAUCUAUUAUUCAGAUCAGAUUGACAUAACCCACAUUUUAAUGAAUUAUGUGAAAUGUUCUACAUCAAAUAGUAUCAAACUAGUGUGUGUGUGUGUGUGUGUGUG
rnacentral:lncRNA from 1 species